rnacentral:misc_RNA from 1 species
CAUUACCAGAAAGACUUGCACAGAUCAUAGACCCAAUCCUUCUCUUAAGAGGAAUGGAAGAAACACUAGUAACAAAUGCUGAAAUAGAUGGGCAGACAGAAAUACAUGCAGAAGAAGGGUUGAGCAAUGAUGGGAAGCUAAGCCGAACAACUAUUGCUAAAGAGGAAGAUGGCUUGCUUUCAGUAUUCAAAGUUGGAGUA